GGAAGCCCCCUCGCCUUAAUGCAGCGCCCGCCGACGUCACCGCAGCCUGCGACCAAUCAGCGGCUCGCGGUCCCUCUGUAAACCAUUCUGCAUCCCCCGGCCGGGGAGAGUGCCGGGAGACCGCGUUUAGAGGAUCAGUGGCGGCCGCAUCCGCCGCCCGGCGCGGUGCGGGCGGCGGGCAGCGAGGUGCCCGAGCCCCUCCUGCUCCGGGGAAUUUCUCCAGAGUCUGUGGUGCCCGGAGGACAUGGCCGGGGCACCCCACAACUCGCCACAGUCCUUCAUCCAGUGUACAGGACCUCAGGGAGCACUCAGUGAAUCCUGCCAACUGAAUCCAGGAGAAAAGCGGAGACGUCACCCUUCGCAUUAAUACCAGCUCUCAAUCUGGGGCGCGGCUUUGAAAGAAGGUUGCUAAGCCUGCUAAAUCCUAGUGCACACCAACACCCCAUUCAUCUGGAAACCUGGUAGGUCCUGCCUAAAAGACUGGCUGUCAGUUUCACCUCCUGCCUGGCUGCCCACCACCCUGGCAUUUUACACUCAAGCCUUUUACAUCUGCUUUGGAUGUCUGAAGACAGGAAGAUCUUUCAAGACUCAAAAACUUGACACAUACAGUUCCCUUUGCUUGGAACA